GAUUAUGCCGCGGUGUCCGUUUCACACAACGUCGGAUGAAUAACUUAUUCGUUUUUUUUUUUUUGUUCGGCUUUAUUGUACGGCCAAACAUGUAUCGUAUGUCUAAAUAUUUAAUUUAAAUCGCCUGAAUUAAUUACGCGCGUGUUAACGUUAUUUAUUAUUAAACCGUUACACUCGGCGUUGAAUACGAAUACCCGAUUUGUCCACAGGAGAAGUAUACACGUACGGGUACAC